rnacentral:rRNA from 1 species
GACGAACGCUGGCGGCGUGCUUAACACAUGCAAGUCGAACGGAAAGGCCUGUCCUUCCUUGUGUUGGACGGGUACUCGAGUGGCGAACGGGUGAGUAACACGUGAGUGAUCUGCCCCCAACUUGGGUAUAAGCCUGGGAAACUGGGUCUAAUUCCCGAUAGGACUGCAGGGUGGUGCCUGUGGUGGAAAACGAUUUUCUAGUGGUUGGGGAUGAGCUCGCGGCCUAUCAGCUUGUUGGUGGGGUAAUGGCCUACCAAGGCGGCGACGGGUAGCCGGCCUGAGAGGGUGGACGGCCACAUUGGGACUGAGAUACGGCCCAGACUCCUACGGGAGGCAGCAGUGGGGAAUAUCGCACAAUGGGCGGAAGCCUGAUGCAGCGACGCCGCGUGGGGGAUGACGGCCUUCGGGUUGUAAACUCCUUUCGACCGCGAGGAAGCCGCCUGGUUGGAAGGGUGGUGACGGUAGUGGUAGAAGAAGCACCGGCUAACUACGUG